rnacentral:rRNA from 1 species
AUUGAACGCUGGCGGCAUGCCUAACACAUGCAAGUCGAACGGAAACGAUGGGAGCUUGCUCCCAGGCGUCGAGUGGCGGACGGGUGAGUAAUACUUAGGAAUCUGCCCAGUAGUGGGGGGACAACCCGGGGAAACCCGGGCUAAUACCGCGUAAUCUCUACGGAGGAAAGAGGGCCUCUUCUUGAAAGCUCUCGCUAUUGGAUGAGCCUAAGUCGGAUUAGCUUGUUGGUGGGGUAAAGGCCUACCAAGGCGACGAUCCGUAGCUGGUCUGAGAGGACGAUCAGCCACACUGGGACUGAGACACGGCCCAGACUCCUACGGGAGGCAGCAGUGGGGAAUAUUGGACAAUGGGGGCAACCCUGAUCCAGCAAUGCCGCGUGUGUGAAGAAGGCCUGC